rnacentral:rRNA from 1 species
GACGAGGGGGACAAGUGGUGUUCACCUAACUGGGCGUUAAGGGUGCGUAGGCGGCCAUUGAAGUUUUAAGGAAAAUACUUGGGCUUAACUCGAGAAUACUUUAUUAUACUAUUUGGCUUGAGUUCAGGAAAGUGAAAUAGUACGGGCAUCUUGGAGAGUAAUAUUCGUUGAAAUGCUUCGGACUACUGUUCGGUGGAGACGGUUUCAUGGUUUUUAAACUGACGCUGAGGCACGAAGGCGUGGGUAUCGAACAG